CGGGGUGCACCAGGCGCGAAAACUUUACAAUGCUGGCAACAGCGAUAAGGGGACCUUGAGUGCCAGGAUACAAUCCUGGCUGUCGUGAUGCCUAAAAAGCAUUAUAUAGCAAGGGCCGGGCAAGACCGGUGCCAGCCGCCGCGGUAACACCGGCGGCUCGAGUGGUAACCGCUAUUAUUGGGUCUAAAGGGUCUGUAGCCGGCUUGGUUAGUCUCUUGGGAAAUCCGGCAGCUUAACUGUCGGGCUUUCAGGAGAUACUGCCAGGCUCGAGACCGGGAGAGGUGAGAGGUACUUCAUGGGUAGGGGUGAAAUCUUGUAAUCCUUGAAGGACCACCAGUGGCGAAGGCGUCUCACCAGAACGGAUCUGACGGCAAGGGACGAAAGCUAGGGGCACGAACCGGAUUAGAUACCCGGGUAGUCCUAGCCGUAAACGAUACUCGCUAGGUGUCGGCCACGGUGCGACCGUGGUCGGUGCCGUAGGGAAGCCGUGAAGCGAGCCACCUGGGAAGUACGGCCGCAAGGCUGAAACUUAAAGGAAUUGGCGGGGGAGCACAAGGGCGAAUCGC
rnacentral:rRNA from 1 species